UGUGAUAGUCCCUUCACAACAUGCCAGCUCAGUCCAUGCAUUAGGAGGCAGGGAAAUUCAGAUCACAUGAAGCUCGUGAUGCUGUUGGCAACCCAACCGAGGAGCAGAGACGGGAAGCUGUCACUGCCAGGGGCGAUCAGUUACUCCAUGGCCACGUAUGCAAGCCCUGUGAUGUGAGUGGGUUGAAAAGUGCUGUAUGCAAGAUCUGCUUUUCCAACAGGGGCAGUGCAGAUAUGGCACAUGGUGACAGUGCCUGCAAUGUGUGGUCACUGUAUAGGGGCCAAAGGCUGGGAGCAGCCAGGUUUAGGAAUCUACAAAUAGCUGCUGCCUUCAGAAGCUGCCUGCGAUGUCUGGAUCAGCAUGGAAGGGUGCAGCAUUUCCCCUGCAAUGAAGCAGCACCAGAAUCCGGUUGCAGUGUGGCAGAGGAUCAAAGCCGGGUCAAGCACUGUUCCCAAGAGCGUGAAGGACUUGUCCCUCUCCCUCCCAUUUCGAGUAUUAUGGGAUAAAAAGGCAAAUACUCACGUUUUCUAGAGAUGUUUACGGAAGUCCCCGGCGCUGCCACUAGAUGCCCCUGUUCUCUGCAGAGCCCUGCGGAGCGGGACAUGCGCCCGGUGCUGCGUGCAGGGUCAGGAGAUGGGCUGCAGAAAUCCUGAUUGCUUCAGCCUCUUCCUCCCUAAUGACCUUCUAAUUAGCUGGGGGCUCUGGAGGAGGUGACACAAAGCUUGGUCACAGUGGGGCUGGACCUGCACACUCCAUUGCUGUGACUCCACAACCCAGGGGUGAACCUCUCCGUACCCAAAAGAUCUGGUGAAGGAUUUCAUAGCACAGAGUAGUUUGGUUACCAUCACUGCUGACUGACCAUGUUCACGAGUUUGCAGCUUGGACGUCAGGCUGAGCUUUCUCUCCCUCUUAGCACCAGACAGAAGAGGACACAGGAAAAUUGAAAGCCAGCCUGAUGCACGCCAAGGUGAUUGGAGAGGGAGAGCCUCUGGUACAUUAGCCAUUAGGAAUCAGUACGAAGAAAAGCUUUUAGGAUGCCAAUCUCAAAUGGUUUGGGCCAGCGUUAACAGCCUCAAGCUUUGCCAAUUGGAUUUAUUAUCUGUUUUCACCUGUCAUCAUUGACAGUUCUGAUUGGUGAGCAGUGCAAUACAAAUCCAGCAGUCCACUA